rnacentral:rRNA from 1 species
AGCGAACGCUGGCGGCAGGCUUAACACAUGCAAGUCGAGCGGGCCUUUCGGGGUCAGCGGCGGACGGGUGAGUAACGCGUGGGAACGUGCCCUCUGGUUCGGAAUAACUCAGGGAAACUUGAGCUAAUACCGGAUACGCCCUUUUGGGGAAAGGCUUGCUGCCGGAGGAUCGGCCCGCGUCUGAUUAGCUAGUUGGUGAGGUAACGGCUCACCAAGGCGCCGAUCAGUAGCUGGUCUGAGAGGAUGAUCAGCCACACUGGGACUGAGACACGGCCCAGACUCCGGGGGGAGGCAGUGGGGGAGUUUAUGUGAAAGGGGGCCGAAUCCCGGACCACCGCGGCCGGGGGGGAGAUGGCGGCCUUGGGGUGAAAAAGCUUUUUUUCCCGGGAAGAAAAGAAGGGAACCGGGGAAAAAACCCCCGCCAAACUUCUG